rnacentral:rRNA from 1 species
GAUGAACGCUGGCGGCGUGCCUAAUACAUGCAAGUCGAGCGAACGGACGAGAAGCUUGCUUUUCUGAUGUUAGCGGCGGACGGGUGAGUAACACGUGGAUAACCUACCUAUAAGACUGGGAUAACUUCGGGAAACCGGAGCUAAUACCGGAUAAUAUUUUGAACCGCAUGGUUCAAAAGUGAAAGACGGUCUUGCUGUCACUUAUAGAUGGAUCCGCGCUGCAUUAGCUAGUUGGUAAGGUAACGGCUUACCAAGGCAACGAUGCAUAGCCGACCUGAGAGGGUGAUCGGCCACACUGGAACUGAGACACGGUCCAGACUCCUACGGGAGGCAGCAGUAGGGAAUCUUCCGCAAUGGGCGAAAGCCUGACGGAGCAACGCCGCGUAAGUGAUGAAGGUCUUCGGAUCGUAAAACUCUGUUAUUAGGGAAGAACAUAUGUGUAAGUAACUGUGCACAUCUUGACGGUACCUAAUCAGAAAGCCACGGCUAACUACGUG